GCUGUUAAGGGUUCGUAGUUGAAUUGUGGAAUGCGACGCCGAGGUCAAGCCCUUUUCCCCGGUUUAGGAAAGCCUCGAUCGCAUUCAGAGAACGUCAGAAACUAAGAUCACGGGAGUGCCUCUCGUCGAUUCGCGAGCAAUGCACGCAGGCGAGCGUCCGUGUUCAUUACUGUGACUAAGAAGUGCGACCAAAGCAGUCCAUCGACAUGAAUUAGAAAGCAUGGGAUAACAAAGUAGCGCCUAUGGGCUACCGUUUAGGCUUUUGUUGGUUUUAAAAGUUCGUGGGAGAUUACGGGCGCGCGGGCCGGCGUGUGGGGCUCUGCCCCCGCGUUUCCCCUGCGUAUCGUUCUGCGGUGCGUGGGGUCCGUGUUUGCUCAGGAAUGAAGGAGGGUUGCUCGGGGGAGAACGUACUUGGCGUGAGAGGUGAAAUUCUUAGACCGCUCAAAGACGAACUACAGCGAAGGCAUUCUCCAGGAUACCUUCAUCAAUCAAGAACCAAAGUG
rnacentral:rRNA from 1 species